GAGGAGAGGGUGGUGAGGUGGUGAGGAAGGAAGAGAGGGUGGUUAGGUUCGGGAGAGGACGAGGGUUUUCUACCCGAUUUGGGGAAGAAAUGCACUGCUCCUGCCUGUUGGAGUUACCGAGAAGCCGCGGGUGCCGAUUUGACUUGACACACCCACCCGGCCGUCCCCAUUCCACGUGGGGACGUGGCGGUCGUGCACGCGGUCGUGCACCUCCUGCGGUUUGCCAUCAAUUGCUAUCGGUCUCACAAGUGGGUCCCCUUGUCAUCCACACAACCGCGCCACCACAUGUACCACAUUUUUCUUUCUCCCCGUCUCGACCACUCCACAUCUUUCUUUCUCCCCUUCUCGACCAGCGCCGCCGCCGCCGCCAUCUCCCGACGACCCCUCUCUUCGCUGCCGGUGCGCGGCCGCCGCCAACUCCGGCAAAAUGGAGGAAGCACCAUGUGGACGCUGCAACUCACGGUGCCGGACCAGCCUUUCUACUGCCACGCUGUUCGGCAUCUACUUCCAGCCUUCUUUUGUUGUUGCAGCGGUAACAAUUUAUAUGAACCUUCUGAUAGUACAUUCUUUUUUUUGCUAUUUCCACUAAUGUAUUGUGUCUGUUAUUUGUUUUUAUCUUACACAGAU